CAAAAGGCUUUACUAAAUACCUUACUGAAAGCCACAUACACUAUAUUCAAAGCAUUGU
rfam:Sarcophilus harrisii ctg7180002411880, whole genome shotgun sequence.